rnacentral:rRNA from 1 species
AUUGAACGCUGGCGGCAGGCUUAACACAUGCAAGUCGAGCGGGGUGAUGGUGCUUGCACUAUCACUUAGCGGCGGACGGGUGAGUAAUGCUUAGGAAUCUGCCUAUUAGUGGGGGACAACAUCUCGAAAGGGAUGCUAAUACCGCAUACGUCCUACGGGAGAAAGCAGGGGAUCACUUGUGACCUUGCGCUAAUAGAUGAGCCUAAGUCGGAUUAGCUAGUUGGUGGGGUAAAGGCCUACCAAGGCGACGAUCUGUAGCGGGUCUGAGAGGAUGAUCCGCCACACUGGGACUGAGACACGGCCCAGACUCCUACGGGAGGCAGCAGUGGGAAUAUUGGACAAUGGGGGGAACCCUGAUCCAGCCAUGCCGCGUGUGUGAAGAAGGCCUUAUGGUUGUAAAGCACUUUAAGCGGGGAGGAGGCUCUUUUGGUUAAUACCCAAGAUGAGUGGACGUUACUCGCAGAAUAAGCACCGGCUAACUCUGUGCCAGCAGCCGCUGUAA